UUUAAUUUUUUGAAAAAUCUCAAGAAAAUUUGUUUUAUUUUUUUAAAAAUUUUAAAAUGAAAGUUUUAUUCUUGCUUAAAUAUUUAUUAUUUCUUUAUAUUAUAUGUAAGUUUUGUAAAACUAAAUGUUCUUUUUGCCAGUAAUUUAAUUUAAUUAUCCAAUUUAUUUUGGAAUUAGUAAUUGAUUUUAGUAUCAGCAUAUUUCGUGCCAGCAGCCGCGGUUAUACGAUUGAUACAAAUGAAUAUUUUUGGUUAUAGCAGUUAUUAUAUUUUUUGAGUGUAAUUUUAGAUUUUUGAGGUGAAAUUUAAUUUUUAAAAAAUUACUCUUUUUAUGAUUCUGUGAAAUUUAAAUAAAAAACUAGGAUUAGAUACCCUAUUAUUUUAAGUGUAAAAUAUUUAUUUACCUGGAUAUUAUUAGUUAAGAUCUUUAAAUCUAAAGAAUUUGGCGGUAUCUUAAUCUAUUCAGAGGAACCUACCCCGUUAUUGAUAGUACACGAUUAACUUUACUUAAUUUAUUUGUUUGUAUAUCUCCGUUAUCAGAAAAUCUUUUUAGAGUUAUAAUUUUCUUAAUUUAUAAUUAUAAAAUAUUUCAGGUCAAGGUGCAGCUUAUGAUUAAGAGAAGGUGGGUUACAAUAGAUUUUUUUUAUAUGAAUUUGAUAAUGAAACAUUGUUAAUGAAGGUGGAUUUGAUGGUAAAUUAAUUUAUUUAAUUUAAUUGAUAUUAGCUCUGAGGUGUGUACACAUCGCCCGUCGCUCUCAAUAUUAAGUAUAAUUAUAAUUAUUUUGUGUAUUUAAAUUAAUUGAGAUAAGUCGUAACAUAGUAGAUGUACUGGAAAGUGUAUCUAGUAAGAUUAU
rnacentral:ncRNA from 1 species